UACGAAGGGGGCUAGCGUUAAUCGGAAUUACUGGGCGUAAAGUGUGCGCAGGCGGCAGGGCAAGUCGAGUGUGAAAGCCCCGGGCUUAACUUGGGAAUUGCGCUCGAAACUACUUUGCUGGAGUGUGGCAGAGGAAGGUGGAAUUCCACGUGUAGCGGUGAAAUGCGUAGAGAUGUGGAGGAACACCAAUGGCGAAGGCAGCCUUCUGGGCCAACACUGACGCUCAUGCACGAAAGCGUGGGGAGCAAACAGG
rnacentral:rRNA from 1 species